CGUUGAUAGUGAUAUGGUUGGUGUCUUAGAAGAAUUUUAUUUCCUUUCGAGGAAUAAAUAUAGGAAUAGAAUGGCAGCAAUACCUGCAAACUCCUCUCAAUUUUCAACAUUCUUCCUGGGUUCAUAUGGCAGGUGGUUAUAAUGGACGACGGAUGCAUCUUUCCGGCAGUGAGACGAAGAAUAAUGAGAUAGGAAAAAGUGGAAGGCAGAAGAAAUGGGUGCUGAAGAAGAUGCUUUCGUGGGUGUGGAGGAAGAUAACUUUGAACAACACCAAGAAGCACGAAGCUCCUCCUCCUAUUAUGUCUUAUAAUGUCUUGUAAUUCAUUUGUUUCCCUU
rnacentral:sRNA from 1 species